rnacentral:rRNA from 1 species
UGGGGAAUUUUGGACAAUGGGCGAAAGCCUGAUCCAGCAAUGCCGCGUGUGUGAAGAAGGCCUUCGGGUUGUAAAGCACUUUUGUCCGGAAAGAAAUCCUUGGCUCUAAUACAGUCGGGGGAUGACGGUACCGGAAGAAUAAGCACCGGCUAACUACGUGCCAGCAGCCGCGGUAAUACGUAGGGUGCAAGCGUUAAUCGGAAUUACUGGGCGUAAAGCGUGCGCAGGCGGUUUGCUAAGACCGAUGUGAAAUCCCCGGGCUCAACCUGGGAACUGCAUUGGUGACUGGCAGGCUAGAGUAUGGCAGAGGGGGGUAGAAUUCCACGUGUAGCAGUGAAAUGCGUAGAGAUGUGGAGGAAUACCGAUGGCGAAGGCAGCCCCCUGGGCCAAUACUGACGCUCAUGCACGAAAGCGUGGGGGAGCAAACAGGAUUAGAUACCCUGGUAGUCCACGCCCUAAACGAUGUCAACUAGUUGUUGGGGAUUCAUUUCCUUAGUAACGUAGCUAACGCGUGAAGUUGACCGCCUGGGGAGUACGGUCGCAAGAUUAAAACUCAAAGGAAUUGACGGGGUCAUAGCUG